CCUACGGGUGGCAGCAGUGAGGAAUAUUGGUCAAUGGGCGGGAGCCUGAACCAGCCAAGUCGCGUGAGGGAAGACGGUCCUACGGAUUGUAAACCUCUUUUGCCGGGGAGCAACGGGGUCCUUGCGAGGGCCCAAUGAGAGUACCCGGAGAAAAAGCAUCGGCUAACUCCGUGCCAGCAGCCGCGGUAAUACGGAGGAUGCGAGCGUUAUCCGGAUUUAUUGGGUUUAAAGGGUGCGUAGGCGGGCUGUUAAGUCAGCGGUAAAAAUUCGGGGCUCAACCCCGUCGUGCCGUUGAAACUGAUGUUCUUGAGUGGGCGAGAAGUAUGCGGAAUGCGUGGUGUAGCGGUGAAAUGCAUAGAUAUCACGCAGAACUCCGAUUGCGAAGGCAGCAUACCGGCGCCCAACUGACGCUGAAGCACGAAAGCGUGGGUAUCGAACAGGAUUAGAUACCCUAGUAGUC
rnacentral:rRNA from 1 species